rnacentral:rRNA from 1 species
CCUACGGGUGGCAGCAGUGGGGAAUAUUGCACAAUGGGCGCAAGCCUGAUGCAGCGACGCCGCGUGAGGGAUGACUGCCUUCGGGUUGUAAACCUCUGUUAGCAGGGAAGAAGAGAGAUUGACGGUACCUGCAGAGAAAGUGCCGUCUAACUACGUGCCAGCAGCCGCGGUAAAACGUAGGGCGCCAGCGUUGUCCGGAAUUAUUGGGCGUAAAUAGCUUGUAGGAGGGUUGGCGCGUUUGCUGUGAAAGGCCGGGGCUUAACUCGGUGUAUUGCAGUGGGUACGGGCAGACUAGAGUGCAGUAGAGGAGACUGGAAUUCGUGGUGUAGCGGUGGAAUGCGCAGAUAUCAGGAGGAACACCGAUGGCGAAGGCAGGUCUCUGGGCUGUAACUGACGCUGAGGAGCGAAAGCAUGGGGAGCGAACAGGAUUAGAUACCCUUGUAGUC